rnacentral:rRNA from 2 species
CUCGAAUCAGGUAGGAAUACCCGCUGAACUUAAGCAUAUCAAUAAGCGGAGGAAA